GGUUAAGCGACUAAGCGUACACGGUGGAUGCCCUGGCAGUCAGAGGCGAUGAAGGACGUGCUAAUCUGCGAUAAGCGUCGGUAAGGUGAUAUGAACCGUUAUAACCGGCGAUUUCCGAAUGGGGAAACCCAGUGUGUUUCGACACACUAUCAUUAACUGAAUCCAUAGGUUAAUGAGGCGAACCGGGGGAACUGAAACAUCUAAGUACCCCGAGGAAAAGAAAUCAACCGAGAUUCCCCCAGUAGCGGCGAGCGAACGGGGAGCAGCCCAGAGCCUGAAUCAGUGUGUGUGUUAGUGGAAGCGUCUGGAAAGGCGCGCGAUACAGGGUGACAGCCCCGUACACAAAAAUGCACAUGCUGUGAGCUCGAUGAGUAGGGCGGGACACGUGGUAUCCUGUCUGAAUAUGGGGGGGCCAUCCUCCAAGGCUAAAUACUCCUGACUGACCGAUAGUGAACCAGUACCGUGAGGGAAAGGCGAAAAGAACCCCGGCGAGGGGAGUGAAAAAGAACCUGAAACCGUGUACGUACAAGCAGUGGGAGCACGCUUAGGCGUGUGACUGCGUACCUUUUGUAUAAUGGGUCAGCGACUUAUAUUCUGUAGCAAGGUUAACCGAAUAGGGGAGCCGAAGGGAAACCGAGUCUUAACUGGGCGUUAAGUUGCAGGGUAUAGACCCGAAACCCGGUGAUCUAGCCAUGGGCAGGUUGAAGGUUGGGUAACACUAACUGGAGGACCGAACCGACUAAUGUUGAAAAAUUAGCGGAUGACUUGUGGCUGGGGGUGAAAGGCCAAUCAAACCGGGAGAUAGCUGGUUCUCCCCGAAAGCUAUUUAGGUAGCGCCUCGUGAAUUCAUCUCCGGGGGUAGAGCACUGUUUCGGCAAGGGGGUCAUCCCGACUUACCAACCCGAUGCAAACUGCGAAUACCGGAGAAUGUUAUCACGGGAGACACACGGCGGGUGCUAACGUCCGUCGUGAAGAGGGAAACAACCCAGACCGCCAGCUAAGGUCCCAAAGUCAUGGUUAAGUGGGAAACGAUGUGGGAAGGCCCAGACAGCCAGGAUGUUGGCUUAGAAGCAGCCAUCAUUUAAAGAAAGCGUAAUAGCUCACUGGUCGAGUCGGCCUGCGCGGAAGAUGUAACGGGGCUAAACCAUGCACCGAAGCUGCGGCAGCGACGCUGAUGCGUUGUUGGGUAGGGGAGCGUUCUGUAAGCCUGCGAAGGUGUGCUGUGAGGCAUGCUGGAGGUAUCAGAAGUGCGAAUGCUGACAUAAGUAACGAUAAAGCGGGUGAAAAGCCCGCUCGCCGGAAGACCAAGGGUUCCUGUCCAACGUUAAUCGGGGCAGGGUGAGUCGACCCCUAAGGCGAGGCCGAAAGGCGUAGUCGAUGGGAAACAGGUUAAUAUUCCUGUACUUGGUGUUACUGCGAAGGGGGGACGGAGAAGGCUAUGUUGGCCGGGCGACGGUUGUCCCGGUUUAAGCGUGUAGGCUGGUUUUCCAGGCAAAUCCGGAAAAUCAAGGCUGAGGCGUGAUGACGAGGCACUACGGUGCUGAAGCAACAAAUGCCCUGCUUCCAGGAAAAGCCUCUAAGCAUCAGGUAACAUCAAAUCGUACCCCAAACCGACACAGGUGGUCAGGUAGAGAAUACCAAGGCGCUUGAGAGAACUCGGGUGAAGGAACUAGGCAAAAUGGUGCCGUAACUUCGGGAGAAGGCACGCUGAUAUGUAGGUGAGGUCCCUCGCGGAUGGAGCUGAAAUCAGUCGAAGAUACCAGCUGGCUGCAACUGUUUAUUAAAAACACAGCACUGUGCAAACACGAAAGUGGACGUAUACGGUGUGACGCCUGCCCGGUGCCGGAAGGUUAAUUGAUGGGGUUAGCGCAAGCGAAGCUCUUGAUCGAAGCCCCGGUAAACGGCGGCCGUAACUAUAACGGUCCUAAGGUAGCGAAAUUCCUUGUCGGGUAAGUUCCGACCUGCACGAAUGGCGUAAUGAUGGCCAGGCUGUCUCCACCCGAGACUCAGUGAAAUUGAACUCGCUGUGAAGAUGCAGUGUACCCGCGGCAAGACGGAAAGACCCCGUGAACCUUUACUAUAGCUUGACACUGAACAUUGAGCCUUGAUGUGUAGGAUAGGUGGGAGGCUUGGAAGUGUGGACGCCAGUCUGCAUGGAGCCGACCUUGAAAUACCACCCUUUAAUGUUUGAUGUUCUAACGUUGACCCGUAAUCCGGGUUGCGGACAGUGUCUGGUGGGUAGUUUGACUGGGGCGGUCUCCUCCUAAAGAGUAACGGAGGAGCACGAAGGUUGGCUAAUCCUGGUCGGACAUCAGGAGGUUAGUGCAAUGGCAUAAGCCAGCUUGACUGCGAGCGUGACGGCGCGAGCAGGUGCGAAAGCAGGUCAUAGUGAUCCGGUGGUUCUGAAUGGAAGGGCCAUCGCUCAACGGAUAAAAGGUACUCCGGGGAUAACAGGCUGAUACCGCCCAAGAGUUCAUAUCGACGGCGGUGUUUGGCACCUCGAUGUCGGCUCAUCACAUCCUGGGGCUGAAGUAGGUCCCAAGGGUAUGGCUGUUCGCCAUUUAAAGUGGUACGCGAGCUGGGUUUAGAACGUCGUGAGACAGUUCGGUCCCUAUCUGCCGUGGGCGCUGGAGAACUGAGGGGGGCUGCUCCUAGUACGAGAGGACCGGAGUGGACGCAUCACUGGUGUUCGGGUUGUCAUGCCAAUGGCACUGCCCGGUAGCUAAAUGCGGAAGAGAUAAGUGCUGAAAGCAUCUAAGCACGAAACUUGCCCCGAGAUGAGUUCUCCCUGACUCCUUGAGAGUCCUGAAGGAACGUUGAAGACGACGACGUUGAUAGGCCGGGUGUGUAAGCGCAGCGAUGCGUUGAGCUAACCGGUACUAAUGAACCGUGAGGCUUAACCUU
rnacentral:rRNA from 1 species